rnacentral:rRNA from 1 species
GAUCAUGGCUCAGAUUGAACGCUGGCGGCAGGCCUAACACAUGCAAGUCGAACGGUAACAGGAGACAGCUUGCUGUUUCGCUGACGAGUGGCGGACGGGUGAGUAAUGUCUGGGAAACUGCCUGAUGGAGGGGGAUAACUACUGGAAACGGUAGCUAAUACCGCAUAACGUCGCAAGACCAAAGAGGGGGGACCUUCGGGCCGUCCUUGCCAUCGGAUGUGCCCAGAUGGGAUUAG